rnacentral:tRNA from 1 species
GCCCGUUUGGCUCAGUGGACAGAGCGUCGGCCUAUGGACUGAAGGGUCCCUGGUUCUAUUCCAGUCAUGGGCA